UUAUUACGUAGAUUAUUAAGCAAAUCACGCAGAAAAUUUCCCGCAUCGACGUGGAACUUUUCUGCGAAUCAACUAGGUCCUAUGCCAAGACUUUGUCACAGAAAAAUGCCUCUUAAUGAAAAUCGAAAAACAACAAAUGAUUUAUUUAGCUUUGUACGAUUUUGUUGGGUACUUUAAAAAGAGCCCUGGAAACAUUAAAAUGUCUUCAGGAAGACGCGUUAAAC